CCUACGGGAUGCAGCAGUGAGGAAUAUUGGUCAAUGGGCGGGAGCCUGAACCAGCCAAGUCGCGUGAGGGAAGAAGGUACAGCGUAUUGUAAACCUCUUUUGUCAGGGAACAAAGGCGGGGACUAGUCCCCGGCUGAGGGUACCUGAAGAAAAAGCAUCGGCUACCUCCGUGACAGCAGCCGCGGUAAUACGGAGGAUGCGAGCGUUAUCCGGAUUUAUUGGGUUUAAAGGGUGCGCAGGCGGCAUGUUAAGUCAGCGGUAAAAGCUCGGGGCACAACCCCGGCCAGCCGUGGAAACUGGUGGGCUGGAGUUGGAGAGAAGGACGCGGAAUGCGCGGUGUAGCGGUGAAAUGCUUAGAUAUCGCGCAGAACCCCGAUUGCGAAGGCAGCGUAUCGGCUCCACACUGACGCUGAGGCACGAAAGCGUGGGGAUCGAACAGGAUUAGAUACCCCAGUAGUC
rnacentral:rRNA from 1 species